rnacentral:rRNA from 1 species
CGCGGCCUAUCAGCUUGUUGGCGAGGUAACGGCUCACCAAGGCAACGACGGGUAGCUGGUCUGAGAGGAUGGCCAGCCACAUUGGGACUGAGAUACGGCCCAGACUCCUACGGGAGGCAGCAGUGGGGAAUCUUGCGCAAUGGCCUAACGGCUGACGCAGCGACGCCGCGUGUGGGAUGAAGCUCCUCGGAGUGUAAACCACUGUUGCCCGGGACGAAUAGCUCGAUUAAUCGAGCCUGACGGUACCGGGUGAGGAAGCACCGGCUAACUCCGUGCCAGCAGCCGCGGUAAUACGGGGGGUGCGAGCGUUGUCCGGAAUCACUGGGCGUAAAGGGCGCGUAGGUGGUUUGAUAAGGGUGUGGUGAAAGUCCGGGGCUCAACCCCGGAUCUGCCGUGCCGACUGUCAAACUCGAGGACUGUAGAGGCAGACGGAAUUCCGGGUGUAGCGGUGGAAUGCGUAGAGAUCCGGAGGAAGACCGGUGGCGAAGGCGGUCUGCUGGGCAGUUUCUGACACUGAGGCGCGACAGCGUGGGGAGCAAACAGGAUUAGAUACCCUGGUAGUCCACGCCGUAAACGAUGGGUACUAGGUGCCUGGGGGAGCGACCCUCUGGGUGCCGGCGCUAACGCAGGAAGUACCCCGCCUGGGGAGU